AGGGGACCAGAAUGGUGUGCAAAUGAAGGCGUGGAGGAAGGAAAACAUGAGGCGCCAACUUUGAGCUGAAUCCUAGGAAGAAGGUGGCCUAGCCCAGAGUGAGGUUGGAGGCUGAUCCAGGCAAAGCAGCUGUAUUCACAGGGACAGGAGGCAACUGUCUAAGAGAUGAGGAAACUGAGGCUGAGAGGGUAGAGAACUUUGCCUGAGGUCACUCAGCAGGGACCCACCCAUCACAGUAAAUGCCAGCACUGCUGAUGCCAAAACAAUGUUAUUUGUAGGCCCUCGGAAUUUGUGACCUGAAGGAAGAAGAGCAGGGCCGUGGGAAGUAUGUAACCAGUGUCAUGCCCCUGGUCCCAAGGAAGCAGUGGCUUGGUAAAGAGGGGACCCCCGUCAAUAACUCCCUGUAAUUACUGGGCACCCACUCUGAGCUCCUCAGUGGAAUCCUAAGGUUAAUAAGACUGUCUCUAGCCACUGGGGCUCCCAGCCUGGAGUGAGGCCUGAACACCCUGUCCUACCUGGUCCUACCUGGAUGCUGGCCUCAGUAAGCUCCUGGGCUCAUUGAAGAUGAACCUAGCAGUAGUAUUUACACCACUUGUUGUGUGCCCACUGUGGGCCCGGCGCCAUGCCGAGUGCUCUAUGGAUGUGAGAUGAGAACACUGAAGCAGUUUUUUCUAAAGAUAGCUGCCUGGCACAGUGGCUCACAUCUGUAGUCCCAGCAUUUGGGGAGGCCAAGGCAGGUGGAUCACUUGAGGCCAGGAAUUCAAGACCAGCAUGGCCAACAUGUGCUGGGAGAGAAAAGCAUACGACAUAGACAGGGAGGUCAAGCUCCACCACGCAGAUGAGGUGCAGGCCACCAGUCUUCCUCUGCCACAUCUCUUUCUGAAAAGGACUUCACAUUCACCCUUGCAAUCCAUGUGGGGACACUGUUGGAUAGGAGGCGUGGUCCCAGCGUGGUCUCCCUGUCUGGGCCUCUGCCUAUGCCAAAUGUUUGCCUUACGCUGCACACUCAAGAGGUUCCAUGUAUACAGAUGGGAAUUCCAGAGCUACAGAAAAGGCAGCAAGCACCAUGAUUUAAGCUAACCAGUGUGGAUUCACACCUUCCUCUCUCUCUAUCAGUGGCAGAACUACCAGCUAGAGUAAGAAGUGGUUGAUCCAGGACCUAAACAUUCUGGAAACUCUUGCCCACUUCUGGGAGAAAUGACCCAAUCCAUAGUACUAAGCACACCUUAACUUUCGUAGGACGCAGGCAAGUUGUCAUACCGUGUGCCUAAAUAUAGAAAAAUGAUCCACUGGACUAAUAAAGUGUUAAAUAAAAUA
rnacentral:lncRNA from 1 species